CCAUAGGCCACAGUCCCACACGGUGGCGGACGCGGGCGUGCUAGGGUUGAGCGGCUACACGAGCGUGCUAGGGUUGAGCGGGGCUCCGCGGGCGUGCUAAGGUUUCGCGAGCAUGGCGGUGGCCGGCGAGCAGGUGAGGGCUCCCGCCUCUAAUUCCCUCCCGAGCUCCUCGAGCGGCCAAGCGUCUGUGUGUGGCCGUGUGGGCGAACCACAUGCGCCAGCCACCGUGCGCCCUGGGUGAGCACGUGAGGCCAGAGGAGAAGCGCAUGUACAAGCAGCUGCGCCAGUUUAGCGCGAGACUGCAGGGUAGUAGGCAAGCCGCGAGCGUGUGACUGCAGCUGCUAGCCAAGUGAGCGUGCCACUACAGGACAGCAAACAACGACGACAGCAAGCAAGGAUCAUGUCCAGACUCACACUGGGCUCGUUGCUCGGCCUUGUUGAGCUAGAGAUCCUCCAACACAGCGGCACCGACACCAAGGCUCAGGCUAGUACGAUCUGAAUCCCUAUCCAUUCCCUGUUGUUACCUCGUUGUGCUCGAUCUGGUUACUGUCCUAUGUGCGGGUUUGUUAUAUUGGUAGUAGGGAUCACAUUGGUGUGGCUGGUUACAUGAAGGAAUGGAGAUGAGAACGUCAUAUACUCUAUCGUAUUCUCAAGUACCUCUGUAAUUUUGAACAUUAGAGCGUCUUUGGUGUAUGGUGGUGAAUUUUUUUCUCGCUCGUAUCGGAAGUCUGCUAGAUUUUGUAAGUGGCAAUAAUGAUAGUGAGGAUAAAAUGUGAUGGUAACACUAACAUUGACAUAUUUUUUACAUGCAGAAGUGUUUGAAAAGGAAAGAGAACAAACAAAAAUGGGUAUAGUCAGGAAUAAGGAAA
rnacentral:lncRNA from 7 species